rnacentral:rRNA from 1 species
CAGUCGCCGCGGUAAUACAGAGGGUGCGAGCGUUAAUCGGAUUUACUGGGCGUAAAGCGUGCGUAGGCGGCUUCUUAAGUCGGAUGUGAAAUCCCUGAGCUUAACUUAGGAAUUGCAUUCGAUACUGGGAAGCUAGAGUAUGGGAGAGGAUGGUAGAAUUCCAGGUGUAGCGGUGAAAUGCGUAGAGAUCUGGAGGAAUACCGAUGGCGAAGGCAGCCAUCUGGCCUAAUACUGACGCUGAGGUACGAAAGCAUGGGGAGUAAACAGGAUUAGAGACCCCUGUAGUCCCUGUCUCUUAUAC